rnacentral:rRNA from 1 species
UACGUAGGGACCAAGCGUUGUCCGGAAUCAUUGGGCGUAAAGAGCGUGUAGGCGGCUUGUUAAGUCUUGCGUGAAAUCUCGGGGCUCAACCCCGAGCGGUCGUGAGAAACUGGCAGGCUAGAGUGCGGGAGAGGAGAGUGGAAUUCCCGGUGUAGCGGUGAAAUGUGUAGAGAUCGGGAGGAACACCGGUGGCGAAGGCGGUCUUCUGGACGGUGACUGACGCUGAGGCGCGAAAGCGUGGGGAGCAAACGGG